rnacentral:rRNA from 1 species
CGCAAGUAGUGGCGGGCGAACGCGGAAGAGCCCAAACCAUAUUGAGCAAUUGAUAUGGGGUUGAAGGACUACAUAAUUGACUGUAACGGAAGAAGAAUGGCAUGGGAAGGCCAAUCAAAGAGGGUGAUAAUCCCGUACUCGUAAAAGUUACAGCAAGGUAGUAUCCUGAGUAGCACGAAACCAGAGGAAUUUUGUGUGAAUUUGCCGGUACCAUCCGGUAAGGCUAAAUACUCCUGAGAGACCGAUAGCGAACAAGUACCGUGAGGGAAAGAUGAAAAGAACUUUGAAAAGAGAGUGAAAUAGUGC